CUUCUGAAAUGACACACACCUUUGCCAAAUGUAUACUCGAGAGAACGCCACCCACCAUUUUGCUCAUAGCAGAGAUGCAUUCUCAGCCUGCAGGUGGAACGCUCUUUGCAAGUUGUCUAAGGCUCGGUUCAGCAACUAGCUCAGUGUGAUCUUCCUUCAAGCAAAGAUCAAGAGGGAACAAGUUGCAGGGAACAGGAAAGCUCGGUCUCUUCUCCACAUGGCCUGUUACUGCUCCUAUCUCCCUCUGUGCCUCAUCAUCUCACCGAGAACCAUGCGUGACCUUAUCAUGGACUCGAGGCUGCUGGACCCAGAACUGCCCUUAUCUGGAGGACAAGGAAGGAUGCCAUCCCUUGUCAAGACGCAGCCCUCCCCUCUUCAUGCUUCAUUCUUCUGCUGGGGUCAUGUCUAACCCAACCAUACUGGGGAGGAUGUCUAAGUUUGCACAAUGGCUUUGGGAGUCGCUGGAAGGAGCAGUUUCCCAAACCCAUGAUGGGUCCUCCUCCACCCACCCCCACACCCCCUCCAGACUCUGCGCCUGGAGCCAGGGUUCCUCCCUGCUCUGGCCCUGCAAGAUCCUUCAGGAAACGGAGGAAGUAUGGACAC